AGAACGAACGCUGGCGGCAGGCUUAACACAUGCAAGUCGAGCGCUGUAGCAAUACAGAGCGGCAGACGGGUGAGUAACGCGUGGGAACAUACCCUCCGGUUCGGAAUAACUCAGGGAAACUUGAGCUAAUACCGAAUACGGUCGAGAGGCGAAAGAUUUAUCGCCGGAGGAUUGGCCCGCGUUCGAUUAGCUAGUUGGUGAGGUAACGGCUCACCAAGGCGACGAUCGAUAGCUGGUCUGAGAGGAUGAUCAGCCACAUUGGGACUGAGACACGGCCCAAACUCCUACGGGAGGCAGCAGUGGGGAAUAUUGGACAAUGGGCGAAAGCCUGAUCCAGCCAUGCCGCGUGAGUGAUGACGGCCUUAGGGUUGUAAAGCUCUUUCGCUAGGGACGAUAAUGACGGUACCUAGACAAGAAGCCCCGGCUAACUUCGUGCCAGCAGCCGC
rnacentral:rRNA from 1 species